CAUGGAUCGCUACAUAACAAGAGAGAGAAAAAUAAAUCCAAACCAGCCAGAGCAUCUCACGGGAAAUCAAAUGAUUGAGUUUUCACCAACUAGUGCAGGAAAUAAUAUUACUAUGAAUCAACCAAUUCCCGGUUAUCAGUACACUGGACGCAAUUACAUGCAAAAUGUUGACAGCCCAGGGAACAGAGCCUUUCAGCCU